UUAAGCGACUAAGCGUACACGGUGGAUGCCCUGGCAGUCAGAGGCGAUGAAGGACGUGCUAAUCUGCGAUAAGCGUCGGUGAGGUGAUAUGAACCGUUAUAACCGGCGAUUUCCGAAUGGGGAAACCCAGUGUGUUUCGACACACUAUCAUUAACUGAAUCCAUAGGUUAAUGAGGCGAACCGGGGGAACUGAAACAUCUAAGUACCCCGAGGAAAAGAAAUCAACCGAGAUUCCCCCAGUAGCGGCGAGCGAACGGGGAGGAGCCCAGAGCCUGAAUCAGUGUGUGUGUUAGUGGAAGCGUCUGGAAAGGCGCGCGAUACAGGGUGACAGCCCCGUACACAAAAAUGCACAUACUGUGAGCUCGAUGAGUAGGGCGGGACACGUGGUAUCCUGUCUGAAUAUGGGGGGACCAUCCUCCAAGGCUAAAUACUCCUGACUGACCGAUAGUGAACCAGUACCGUGAGGGAAAGGCGAAAAGAACCCCGGCGAGGGGAGUGAAAAAGAACCUGAAACCGUGUACGUACAAGCAGUGGGAGCCUCUUAAUGGGGUGACUGCGUACCUUUUGUAUAAUGGGUCAGCGACUUAUAUUCUGUAGCAAGGUUAACCGAAUAGGGGAGCCGAAGGGAAACCGAGUCUUAACUGGGCGUUAAGUUGCAGGGUAUAGACCCGAAACCCGGUGAUCUAGCCAUGGGCAGGUUGAAGGUUGGGUAACACUAACUGGAGGACCGAACCGACUAAUGUUGAAAAAUUAGCGGAUGACUUGUGGCUGGGGGUGAAAGGCCAAUCAAACCGGGAGAUAGCUGGUUCUCCCCGAAAGCUAUUUAGGUAGCGCCUCGUGAAUUCAUCUCCGGGGGUAGAGCACUGUUUCGGCAAGGGGGUCAUCCCGACUUACCAACCCGAUGCAAACUGCGAAUACCGGAGAAUGUUAUCACGGGAGACACACGGCGGGUGCUAACGUCCGUCGUGAAGAGGGAAACAACCCAGACCGCCAGCUAAGGUCCCAAAGUCAUGGUUAAGUGGGAAACGAUGUGGGAAGGCCCAGACAGCCAGGAUGUUGGCUUAGAAGCAGCCAUCAUUUAAAGAAAGCGUAAUAGCUCACUGGUCGAGUCGGCCUGCGCGGAAGAUGUAACGGGGCUAAACCAUGCACCGAAGCUGCGGCAGCGACACUAUGUGUUGUUGGGUAGGGGAGCGUUCUGUAAGCCUGCGAAGGUGUGCUGUGAGGCAUGCUGGAGGUAUCAGAAGUGCGAAUGCUGACAUAAGUAACGAUAAAGCGGGUGAAAAGCCCGCUCGCCGGAAGACCAAGGGUUCCUGUCCAACGUUAAUCGGGGCAGGGUGAGUCGACCCCUAAGGCGAGGCCGAAAGGCGUAGUCGAUGGGAAACAGGUUAAUAUUCCUGUACUUGGUGUUACUGCGAAGGGGGGACGGAGAAGGCUAUGUUGGCCGGGCGACGGUUGUCCCGGUUUAAGCGUGUAGGCUGGUUUUCCAGGCAAAUCCGGAAAACCAAGGCUGAGGCGUGAUGACGAGGCACUACGGUGCUGAAGCGACAAAUGCCCUGCUUCCAGGAAAAGCCUCUAAGCAUCAGGUAACAUCAAAUCGUACCCCAAACCGACACAGGUGGUCAGGUAGAGAAUACCAAGGCGCUUGAGAGAACUCGGGUGAAGGAACUAGGCAAAAUGGUGCCGUAACUUCGGGAGAAGGCACGCUGAUAUGUAGGUGAAGCGACUUGCUCGUGGAGCUGAAAUCAGUCGAAGAUACCAGCUGGCUGCAACUGUUUAUUAAAAACACAGCACUGUGCAAACACGAAAGUGGACGUAUACGGUGUGACGCCUGCCCGGUGCCGGAAGGUUAAUUGAUGGGGUUAGCGGUAACGCGAAGCUCUUGAUCGAAGCCCCGGUAAACGGCGGCCGUAACUAUAACGGUCCUAAGGUAGCGAAAUUCCUUGUCGGGUAAGUUCCGACCUGCACGAAUGGCGUAAUGAUGGCCAGGCUGUCUCCACCCGAGACUCAGUGAAAUUGAACUCGCUGUGAAGAUGCAGUGUACCCGCGGCAAGACGGAAAGACCCCGUGAACCUUUACUAUAGCUUGACACUGAACAUUGAGCCUUGAUGUGUAGGAUAGGUGGGAGGCUUUGAAGUGUGGACGCCAGUCUGCAUGGAGCCGACCUUGAAAUACCACCCUUUAAUGUUUGAUGUUCUAACGUUGGCCCGUAAUCCGGGUUGCGGACAGUGUCUGGUGGGUAGUUUGACUGGGGCGGUCUCCUCCUAAAGAGUAACGGAGGAGCACGAAGGUUGGCUAAUCCUGGUCGGACAUCAGGAGGUUAGUGCAAUGGCAUAAGCCAGCUUGACUGCGAGCGUGACGGCGCGAGCAGGUGCGAAAGCAGGUCAUAGUGAUCCGGUGGUUCUGAAUGGAAGGGCCAUCGCUCAACGGAUAAAAGGUACUCCGGGGAUAACAGGCUGAUACCGCCCAAGAGUUCAUAUCGACGGCGGUGUUUGGCACCUCGAUGUCGGCUCAUCACAUCCUGGGGCUGAAGUAGGUCCCAAGGGUAUGGCUGUUCGCCAUUUAAAGUGGUACGCGAGCUGGGUUUAGAACGUCGUGAGACAGUUCGGUCCCUAUCUGCCGUGGGCGCUGGAGAACUGAGGGGGGCUGCUCCUAGUACGAGAGGACCGGAGUGGACGCAUCACUGGUGUUCGGGUUGUCAUGCCAAUGGCACUGCCCGGUAGCUAAAUGCGGAAGAGAUAAGUGCUGAAAGCAUCUAAGCACGAAACUUGCCCCGAGAUGAGUUCUCCCUGAGACUUAGAGUCUCCUGAAGGAACGUUGAAGACGACGACGUUGAUAGGCCGGGUGUGUAAGCGCAGCGAUGCGUUGAGCUAACCGGUACUAAUGAACCGUGAGGCUUAACCUU
rnacentral:rRNA from 2 species